rnacentral:tmRNA from 1 species
GGGGGUGACCGGCUUUGACGGUCUGUUCAUUGAAAGAUGUGCGACGCCGUGCUCGCCUGUAGUCACGUUAAAGGACAGGCAAACAUACUUGCAAAAAAUACACUUGCAAGCGUGAAGUCUCCGUACUUCGGUGCGCGUGACUUCACGUUCGCCUACGCGACUGCCUAACGGCACCUUCGCCUAGCGACGUUCAUACCCCUUGGUUUCUACAGCUCGGGAUAUGGGCGGAAUGAUCUGUAGAAUCGGCGCGCGACCUCCCGCUCGCGCUGUUUAACUAAGGGAUCAGGCAAGAAUGGUUUCGCGAGCGUUCCUCGCAUCUUGCCCCAGACUCUAACGCUCGCUACGCGUCGUAGACUCUCUUUCUCUAACAUUCUCGGACCGGGGUUCGAUUCCCCGCACCUCCACCA